UCUGAACACAGGUGCUGCAUGGCCGUCGUCAGCUCGUGUCGUGAGAUGUUGGGUUAAGUCCCGCAACGAGCGCAACCCUUAUCAUUAGUUGCUACGCAAGGGCACUCUAAUGAGACUGCCGGUGACAAACCGGAGGAAGGUGGGGAUGACGUCAGGUCAUCAUGGCCCUUAUGGGUAGGGCUACACACGUCAUACAAUGGCCGGUACAGAGGGCUGCCAACUCGCGAGAGGGAGCUAAUCUCAGAAAACCGGUCGUAGUCCGGAUCGCAGUCUGCAACUCGACUGCGUGAAGUCGGAAUCGCUAGUAAUCGCGGAUCAGCUUGCCGCGGUGAAUACGUUCCCGGGUCUUGUACACACCGCCCGUCACACCAUGGGAGCGGGUUCUGCCAGAAGUAGUUAGCCUAACCGCAAGGAGGGCGAUUACCACGGCAG
rnacentral:rRNA from 1 species